rnacentral:rRNA from 1 species
CAUCUCCUUAAUCGGAGAGUUCCCUUCGGGGACAUUGGUGACAGGUGGUGCAUGGUUGUCGUCAGCUCGUGUCGUGAGAUGUUGGGUUAAGUCCCGCAACGAGCGCAACCCUUGUCUUUAGUUGCCAUCAUUAAGUUGGGCACUCUAGAGAGACUGCCAGGGAUAACCUGGAGGAAGGUGGGGAUGACGUCAAAUCAUCAUGCCCCUUAUGCUUAGGGCUACACACGUGCUACAAUGGGUAGUACAGAGGGUUGCCAAGCCGUAAGGUGGAGCUAAUCCCUUAAAGCUACUCUCAGUUCGGAUUGUAGGCUGAAACUCGCCUACAUGAAGCUGGAGUUACUAGUAAUCGCAGAUCAGAAUGCUGCGGUGAAUGCGUUCCCGGGUCUUGUACACACCGCCCGUCACACCACGGGAGUUGGAGACGCCCGAAGCCGAUUAUCUAACCUUUUGGAAGAAGUCGUCGAAGGUGGAAUCAAUAACUGGGGUGAAGUCGUAACAAGGUAGCCGUAUCGGAAGGUGCGGCUGGAUCACCUCCUUU